CGGGCGCGGGCCGGCUGACUGUGCGGUUAGGUCGGGCCGUGCUGGGCCAUGGCGCUCAGCAGGAAGGAAGGUGAGGCUGCGGCAGUGUUCAUAAAGAAAGUGCUGAAACGCCUCUAUCCUGAAACUUCAUCUUCUCCUGUACAUGAUUCGAGUGGAAAAGAGGAGGCGGUUCUCAUAAAUCUGGGCUCAAAAUCCAAAGAGAAUGAUUUGGAAAAUGUUCAGGCUUUGUCAGCAGAUGCUAGUACAUCAAGUGGGACACUCAGCAAAUCAUCUCGAGGUAGUGUCACUACAAUCUCGCCUCCAAGGAGAGUGUACACUGUGAGUCCUCCUCCUGAGGGCUACGUUGCAGCUAUUCCAGAUACUGAUAACACUACAGUUUCUGAAAACUCCGAGGGUAGUGCUGACUCUACAGAGGAGGAACAUGAAGUACAAACCAAGAGAAAACGCAUUCGAAGAAAGAAACUAAAGAACAGUUUACAAGAUUCUAAUGAUUUACAUGGAGAACAAGUAGAAUCUGGAAUGCGGGACACUCUUGUUCAAGAUAAUUUACAUCUACAGCAGAUAGACAGCUCCAAAAUCAGCAAAAACAAAAGGAGAAAAAUGAAAAAGAAGCGACAGAAAGAAAAAAUGAGAGCAGCUGGCUUGCUAACAAAAACUACCGGUGUGGAUUUUACAUAUCAGCCUGACAAAAGCAACAGAGAAGGAGCAGCAGACUUAAAAGACACAGAUGAAAAGGCAGAUAGUAUUCUGGAUUUCUUGCAGGCAACACAGCAAAUUUAUUUUGCUGACAAUAAAUCAAAAUGCACAGAUUCUACUGUAAAUUCAGCUGCUCAAGAGCUUUUACAGUGUCUUGAAUCUCGCAACAUAUCUUCUUCAGAUCUAACUCUUCUACAUCAGAUGAAAUCCCUUAUAUUGCUACAGGAUAUUGACAGACUGAAGGAUGCUUUGAAACAAUUCCAAGAACAUUCCGUGAUGCCUCCUGAUCACACCAAGUUCAUCAUUACUCUGUUUCACUACUGGAUUACAGAUAUCCUUCCUACAAGGAACAGGAAAUAAAGCCUUGUUUAUGUCCAUAUGUGCAGGGUUAAAAUUUAAUAUACAAGCACUUAGUCAAGUAGCAAUUAUUCAGAAAGAGCAGUGCCAAUAUACAUUCUACAUCUUCAGGUGUUCAGUCCACUUUCUCAGUAAUUUCCAAGGCUUCUCCUCCACUGGAUGUGUAAGGUAGCUCAGCCCUCUUCUGCAGAGUGAAAAGCAGUCUCAAAAUACUUGGCAUCUGAUGUAUGAUGGAAGCCUGAGCAUGGCCAGGUCCUGGGAAGCAGCUGGAAACAAUGACUUACCAAGGUGAGAUGAAUGGGACAGAAGCAGAAAUGGAACUAUGCAUGUGUGAGUCUGGUAUUUCCCCUGCAGUGGUUACUACUGAUUUGCUGAACAAAGACAGCAGGUGUGGUGGUCUUAUAGAACCAAGGAAUCAUGAGUUGGAAGGUACCCACAAAGAUCAUCAUGUCCAACUCUGGUUCCAUAUAGGACCACAAAGGGAAAAACCCUUCUCCGGUCCCGUUGGCAGUGCUGUGCCUGUAGUUCCUCGGGUCACUUCUGGAUCCCUUUGUUAAAAUGAUCCAUUUUACCACCAUGCAGGCCUCUGAUACUGACACAAUUCCCAGAGGUAACACACUGCAGCUAGCAGUUGUGUUAUUUCAUCCCUCAGUUAGUUUAGAGCUGUUAGAUGAAUACUGUCUGGUCCUAGUGAUCCUUAGCAUUGUGUCAUGGGAGAUACAAUCUCUGAAGAGAGCAAUCAGUCCUAAGUCCAUUGUGUCACGUUUAAAUGCAAGUGUUCACUACUGUUCCUCUCUUGGGUUUGGCUUUCCACCUCUAGGUAAUUUAAAUUCUGUUUUAAUCAUUUCUGUUUGGCCUACAGACAGACAGCCAACCACAACACUUAAUCAGAAAAAAGACUGCAUAAUGAAAAAAUAAGCAUUAUAGAAAUGCUACUCCUUUGAUUAAUGAAUUUUUCAUGCUUUACCUCCUGCAUAGAUUGUUUUACACUCUACUGAUGCUGAUGAAAGAAUCUUCUAGUGUUCAUCUAGAGAAUUCACAACAGAAGAAAUGUACCUGUACUCUGGAUUAUGCCUAGAAAUAGAUUACUGAUCCUGCUAAGUAGCCACAGCUGUGCUGGCACAAUGCCAUUCCAGAAAUAAUAGAAGUCUUAUUAAGGGAUUAGAGCAUUUAAGUAGGAAUACAGAUAUCAUGGAUCACUGUAUGUAACUGGCAAUGUGAGGGCGAUUACAAGGAAACAAAACAAGGGAAUAUGUCAGAAACUGCAUGAGAACAUAAAUUUAACUCAGAAAGUUUCCACUAAAUCCAUGUAAUUUAACCUAUCACUUUGAAGCAUUUUCUAUCGUUCUUGGAAGACUACAGUAAUCUUUAUCUUACUGAAUUGCGGUUUUAAGUUUUACAGGACAAUUUUUUUCAGCCCCUUUUUAUUUUACAUAGGUUAAUUCAUUAGCCUGUUGCACUGGAAACAUGCAGCAUGGAAAUAUACUGCAUCCAGGCUUUUAUAUCUACCAGAAUGGAUCAAAGUGUUUACAUUUUCCAAAUUAGAAACUAUAUGUGAGUGCUACAGAUCUAGAUAUCCAUUACUGCCAAAUGUGAAGAACAUCAGGCCACUAAGGAAAACUUUAGACAAAUAGUUUAGAUACAUGGGUCUAUGUGUGUCCAAGCUUUUGGCUUGCCUGGGCCACAAUGAGUAAAGAAGAAUUAUCUUGGGCUGCAUAUGAAUUAUAUAAUGUAGUUAAUGUCUGUAAGUAACAAAAUGUCUUUUUAAACUAUUUUUAAAUUAAAACAUUUGAAAAAGAGGGCAAGAAAAUCAUAAAACUAGUAGGAUGGGCAUGUAUGAUUUUGAACUUCUUGACGUUCUGAUGCAUUUCUUUACACAGUAAUGGAAAUUUUUUAUAAAGUUCUGCAUUUUAGAAUAGCUCAAAAUUCACUGUUACUGUGAUAGCACAUGCCUUGCACAAGGGUAUUCUUCAGGUUUUAGCAGGUAGGUCAGGUACUUUGAAGUUUGAGUUUGAAGAAAAACAAAACAACAACAAAAACCCUUACAAACUUUUUUUUAGGGUUUAUGACUCAAUUUAUAAAACCAUAUGGAAUACAAUAACCCACACAUUUUGAGUAUCUGAAAUAGUAUUUGAAAAGAACAGAGAUGUACCAGUGUAACGGUUGACUGGAGUUGUAUUGUUCUGUUAUUCUUCUCUUGUAAAUCAGUGCUUUAGAAGCAGAACUAAAAUUAUGGUCAUGAUUUGAAUGUAUCCAUGUUAUCUUAAAACAAAGCCUUUUCCAUUCAGGAGUCCUAGUACCCCAAACAUCCUUUCUGCAGAUAUUUUUUUCAUAUUGCAGUGCUGCUCUGAGAUAAAUUAGAAGUGCCCCUAGCUACAAAAAAGCAAAUUACAGAUGGUAGGGUAUGGACUAAGUGCAGGGCUUAUUGUAUAUUAGGGUCUUUCUCAUACGUAAAAUAUGAUAGUUCUUCACAAGCCUCCAUUUGCAGGCACCACAGCAGAUCUCACGGCCUUCUAAACCUCAGCUAAUACACCUAAGUACUUCUGGAAUUACGUGCCAGAAGGCUAUUUCUUAAGAUUUCUCAUUUGUGUGAUUCACUUCGAAAACUUGACAUAUGUGUAAUAGGAUGUCAGCGUGGGAUGUAGAGGAGGAGGGAAAAGAGCCCUGCUCAGUAGCUGCACAUGCAUCUGCCCAUAUGCACAGAUGUACUGAUGAGAAAAGUUCUCAGCAGCAAUAUAGAACUGAUAGGAAUGAACUGUUCAGUUUCUUACAAAUGGUUCAAAUUCCAAAAGCUCUAGGCUGUGUGUAUACAUGUGUUGGAUAAGUAACCACCCAGCAUGUCAGUAUAGCUGUUUGCUGCGUAUCAAACUGCAUAUCAAACUGCAUAAGAGAUCUGGAACUCUGUGUGGUGGAGCCACUCAUAAUCUGAGAUCCUCUACAGAUGGAGCGAGGGAAGUCUGCUAGACCAUGGAAUCUGACAGUCAAGCUUUCUAUCACAUCAGCCACAGUGGGAACAAAGGACACAGUGUGAAGAGUUCUUACCACAGAUUGUAAUAAAUAUUCUCGUAUUGUUUCUCACAGUGACAAACACCCACUGUUCAGCCUGGCACACGAGCCAAUAUGUGGUGGGUGUGUUGAGGUAGAUGGAGUCUAGUGAACUUUGUGAAGGAGAGGAUGAGGGAUCGUGCCUUAUUCCUUAACAAGCUCCCUCUUCUUUUCACCAUCUUUUCUAAGUGGACAUUCCAGGCUCUUCACAGGAAAGAGCCUAAUGCCUUGUUUCUAGAUGUGCCCUUGAGUAAUGAAUUGUCUUGUGAGUGCUGCUUAAGUUUUCCUAUCCACAUCAGCAGUGAGACAGGAGUUGAAGAAUGGCAUUCCAGCAUAUGAAUAUACUCACCUUCUUCACAACUGUCAGCAUGGCACUGAACGUGCUCCCAUUGCACUACCUUCCUGAAGUGUUUGCAUAUGCUCUGAGUAGUGGGACUGUUGCAAGACUGUGCAUUGCAUCUCUUCUUCGUGGGUUAACUGGGACCUCCAGGACCUCCACUGGAAGUCUGUUCAUUGCCUGCCAGAUAAGAACCUUCCCAAAAUAAUUGAUGUAGAUAAAUCUUUCCACCCAUGUAGUUCCUAGUCCAAUGAGAACAGCCCAGCAUCUCUGGUAUCUUAGAAGCAGCAAGCCAUAAAGAUCUUUUUUAAAAAAGACAGCCGUUAUUCCACCGUGGGUUUUAAGGCCUGGAUUUAAAGCAGAAAACACAACAGGGAAAUGCUUGUGCUGUAAUAUCACUUGCACAGCAGAGGUGGGCAAGCUUCUAUCCUCUUUCCUCACCUUGCUCCUAUCUGCUAGUUCAGCUCUCUGUUGCUGUCCAAUCCCUACUUUCUGGAAAGUUGUAUGAAUGAUUACGGUAGAACCAAAUAUCAGAGUUGCAGUGCUGUGAGCAUUGCAGCACCUUUUUUAAACGUGCUAAUUCCCAUUAAGGACUUCAGAGCUGCAAGAUCCCAGGUCUUCUCUCUGCCUUUUGCUUAUCUUAUUGAUUUUGGGUUUUCUGGUUUGUUUGUUUGCUUUUCAUUUUGGUUUUCUUUGGAUCUUCAGUUGUAAAAUGAGUAAAUAUUUUUCUAUUACUGUACAUGUAAAUUACAGAAAAACAGUCAGUGAAUUUAUUUACUCAGUCAUUGUACAGAACGGGACAUUCUGUAGGGCAGUGGCUGU